rnacentral:rRNA from 1 species
CAGUCGUACCGGCGGAUAAUCAGCCUUUCGGGUGCGAUUCUGUGGGGCGUGAGGAGUUUAACCGCCUUCAUGUUUUGCAUAUUCGUGCACAUUUGGUGUACUUGUCCGUGUGGUGGGUUAACAUCAAUUUCGGUCGUCAUAAAAUGACUGGAGGAAUGUAGCUUUGGUCUCGUAUCGAAGUGUUAUAGACUCUGGUAGAUGUGACGAUUGGGGAUUGAGGAUUGCAACGGAUACCCUUCGGGGCUACUCGUCUGAUCUCUGAAGGUUGCUCCGGUGCCGAAAGCUUGCUUACGGUUGUCAAAGUCGA